AGUGUUGAAGACAAUUCAUCACGUCGCAGUGAGUUACCAUGUUGGUGGGAUAUAUAGUAAUUCUCUCACAAACUCCUUUAAUUUAAAGACAUAAUGGACUGGGACAACCUGUGUGUCCCUGAGACUCAGCAGAUUUAUUUCCAGUGAUAGCAGCAAGUUCAGCCUCCAAGUCCGGGUCGUCCAGAUUCCCCUCCAUCCCCAUCAUCAUCUGCUCAGGGUCCAGGUCUACAAACAGACCCAUCUGAAACCAGGAGGAUCUCCGUUUGGACGCUGCAGCAGCUCCCUCUGCUGUUACUGUGAAACUCACCCUCCGCUCCUGUCCCUGUGGUAGAGGCGGAACCAGAUGUCGUACAGCUGCCUCUUGAACUGUCCGGGGUCUGAUGAUGACUUCCCCUCCUUGACCAGAAACUGCUCCUCUGACGUCACCGUCUCCGCUACACCCGUGGAUGUUUCAUAGUUGUCCAGCAAGUUAAUGAAAUCUGCAUUAAAAAC